AUGUAGGGAGGUUCCUAGGUGUGAGAAGUGUGCAGAAGGGCAUGUGGCAGCAGUGUGUAGGAGGGAGGGUCCUAGGUGUGAGAAGUGUGCAGAAGGGCAUGUGGCAGCAGUAUGUAGGAGGGAGGGUCCUAGGUGUGAGAAGUGUGCAGAAGGGCAUGUGGCAGCAGUAUGUAGGAGGGAGGGUCCUAGGUGUGAGAAGUGUGCAGAGGGGCAUGUGGCAGCAGUAUGUAGGGAGGUUCCUAGGUGUGAGAAGUGUGCAGAAGGGCAUGUGGCAGCAGUAUGUAGGGAGGUUCCUAGGUGUGAGAAGUGUGCAGAAGGGCAUGUGGCAGCAGUAUGUAGGAGGGAGGGUCCUAGGUGUGAGAAGUGUGCAGAGGGGCAUGAGACAGCAGUAUGUAGGGAGGUUCCUAGGUGAGAGAAGUGUGCAGAAGGGCAUGUGGCAGCAGUAUGUAUGAGGGAGGGUCCUAGGUGUGAGAAGUGUGCAGAAGGGCAUGAGACAGCAGUAUGUAGGGGGGAGGUUCCUAGGUGUGAGAAGUGUGCAGAAGGGCAUGUGGCAGCAGUAUGUAGGAGGGAGG
ensembl:lncRNA